rnacentral:lncRNA from 1 species
CUCUGGGGAUGCUGACCUUUUUGCCCAGGUCCAUGCCAUCAACAUCUGUAAAACAAUAUUCAUAUGAGUAAAAAUCCCAAGGUAAAAUUAGAGGAGUCCACUAAUUAUAAAAGUCACAAUAUCAAGAUUUUUGCUUCUGGGAAGAUGAAGUAGAUGUGUUUUUUCCUGUAAAGCUAUUAAAUACAACCUCACAUGUUGGACAUUAUAAGUAAAUAAAUAAAAGACUCUGAAAGUGUAAAGAAAUAGGCAGACAAGCUAGGGACCCCAGGACCCAAGGAACAACAUGGUGAUUAAUACUCUGGGUGUUCUUUUAGCCCCUAAAUCUCAGACUUGAAGCUGAAGAUGAUGGCAACCCAGAAACACCAAGAGGUCCAGACAGACAAAGCACCAACGAAAGGCUGUUCUCUCCAGCUAAAGGACCAGGAAAGGAGCUGCCUCUGCAAGACAGAAAAUGUUUAGACAAUGGCUGCGCUACUUUAGCCAACCACCACAGAAAACACUUUGACUUCGCUCUCACCCACGUUAAGAUCUUGUGGGGAGCCCAGAAUUUCACCCUGUGAGGCUGUAACAAGUUUCUCCAAUACUCCCACUAGGGUGGUGUCAGAGAGACCGAGUGGGAAGUUGGGACUUUCAUUCCUUUUGGCCAGUAACUAGCUCCUUGUCUCCGCAGUCUUAGUGAAGACUACGUGGGAGUCUGAACUCCUGUCCUCUCCCAGCAAUAACAAAGAGGCUCCCCUCAAGUUUCAGUGGAGCCAAAUAGGGAACCCAGACUUCUACAUUCACCUGCAGUAAUGAGUUGGCACUCCUGCUGGAGCAGUGUCAGAUAAGAACAGAUGAAAAAGAAGGUUUAUUUAAAGAGCAAGCAUCUCAGAACAUAAUGUGAAAAUGUCCAGGCUUAAAUUGAAAAUCACUUAUAUAUAUUAUGAAAAUCACUUAUACAAAGAACUAGAAAAAUCUCAAACUGAAUGAAAAAUUAAAAAAAAAAUCAAAUGCCAACACUGGGAUGACUGAGAUAUUAAAACUAUCUGACAAAUAUUUUAAAGUACCCAUAAUUUAAAACAAUGCUUCAGAAAGCAGUUAGGAAACCACUUGAAACAAAUUCUUUAAAUGGAAAGGUUUUUUUUUUUUUUGCCAAUGACUCCAUCAGCAGCAGCAAAAAAAAAAAAAAAAAAAAUCUCAGUCGAGAAAUAAAAGAUAUAAAGAACAAAACAAAAAUUUUAGAACUCAAAAUAUAAUAACCUGAGUAAAAAGCUCAGUGAAUGGGCUCAAUAGUAAAAUAGAGGGGGCAAAUGAGAAAAAUCACUUAGCUGUUAGAAUAGAAUUUCCCCAAUAAGACCAACACAGAGAAAAAUAGACUUGAAAACAAAUGAACGAGGUAUUCUUAGGGAUUCAUGGGACUCUAAUAAAAGAUAUAGCAUUCAUGUCAUUGAAGUUCCAGAAGGAGAGGAAAAAUAAGGGGAGGCUGGAAAAGUACUUAAAGAAAUCACGGCUGAAAAAUGUCCUAAAGUUGACAAGAGAUAUAAACUUACAGAUUCGAGAAGCUAAGAGAACCCUAAACAUAAUAAACCUGAAUAACUCACAACAAGACUUAUAAUUAAGCUUCUGAAAA